UCUGCGCCUCUCUCUCUCUCUCUCUAUUUUCAGCGUCCCUCUCCCUCUCCCCCUCCCUCCCCGUCUCCGCUACUCCUCUCCCCUCCCUCUCUCACUGCCGCUCUUCUUCGCCUUCGAUGGAAACCGGAGCACCUCCUCCUCCUCCGCCAUCGCCAUCGCCAUCGCCAUCGCCAUCGCCAUCGCCAUCGUCAUCGUCAUCGUGAGUACCGCCGAUCUUUUCACGCUGCCGCCUCUUCCUCCUCUGCCGAUCUUCACAGAUCCACCGCCGUGAGAUCCAGAAGCUUCAUCGUUGAGAUGAACUCUGCUCUAUUGAUGCUCUGUCUCACUCUCUGGUGAUUUUAUUCAGACCGACCACCACUCUAUGCCACUGUUGGUAUUGGCGCAUUGCUACAACGGUAUUACAUUUGUUACAUAGGGUGUAACACAUAGGUUAAGUCAAGAAUGAUGGGGGAUUCUUCUGCAUAUAAAAGUACUCUUGAUUGUUUCAUCAAGACUUUGAAGAACGAUGGGCCUUUUGCUUUCUAUAAGGGCUUUAUCCCAAAUUUUGGACGGUUAGGAUCUUGGAAUGUGAUCAUGUUUCUGACCUUGGAGCAGGUAAAAGCUACAAACUCGAGCGAUGAUAGUUUUGUGGUUUUGCUUCAUUUCUUUUUGGAUUGUAAUUCCUUUUUUCUGAGAUAUACACUCUCUCCUAGCCACUUUCUAAGAAACCGUUCAAUAGUAGGCUUAUCUUUAAUGUGGUCACUUUUGGCAGUGUCAAGAAAAUGAAGCUUGAUUUCCUUUGUUAGGUUGCUAAUUUUUUUCUUGUUUGUUCUUUUUUCUAAUAACAAGCUAAGAAGUUUGUUAGAAGUAUAGAGUCACCUUGAGUUUAGAGAAUAGAUAGUGAAGCCAGCCGUGAAGAGAUUUUGGAUGGUGAUUGCUUCCAUAACCGAUGAAUGUUUAGAGAAAAAUAAAAUGCAUUGUUGUUGUUUUUGUUGUUGUUCCCAUUGUUUGAUGCUUAAUAAAGGGUCCUAAUGGAAAAAACAAUUGGAAAGAUUUUGGCAACUUGGUGACAUGUAUGCAGUUAUGAUUUUUGCA